AAUAAGUGCAGUUUUGCACUAUUCAUGUUCAACGGUUGACUGUCCGUCUUAUUUAAAAUUUUUUUAUGAUUAGUAUUUUUAUUGCUAUUAGAUGAUAAAACAUGAAUAUUACUUUAUAUGUGACUAGAUGUUUUUAAUUUUUUCACAAAUUUUUCAAUAAGACGGACGGUCAAACGUUGAACGUGAAUAGUGCAAAACUGCACUUAUU
rfam:Oryza sativa (indica cultivar-group) chromosome 4, whole genome shotgun sequence.